rnacentral:lncRNA from 1 species
ACUUUUUUUUUUUUUUUUUGGCUGCACCUGCGGCAUGCAGAGAAGUUCCCGGGCCAGGGAUGGAACCCAUGCCACAAAUAUCUGCAUUUAAAUGUUUAUAUUCUAUCCAUGAUGGCCAAGAAUUGGAAGUUAACUAAAUAUCUGUUAACAUGUGAAUAACAGAUAUUAACACAAUGGAAUGCUAGUCAGCAAUAACAACAAAUGAACUAGUGAUACAUGCAGUCACGUAGAUGAAUAUCACAUCCGUACUGGGCAAAGCAGUCUGAUAAAGGAAUGUAUACUGUAUGCUUCCAUUUAUAUGAAUUUUUGUAACAGGUGAGAUUAAACAUAGUUGCAGAAUUUUGAUCAGAGUUUGCCUGUUAACUGUGGGAGGAGAGAGAGAAAUUGUUGGUAUGAGAGAACUUCUUUGGGUGAUAGAAAUAUUCCAUAUCUUGAUUAAGGAGGUAAUUUUAUAGGUGAAUACUUUUGUUAAAACUCAUAAACUACACAUUUAAGAUGUGUAUUUGUAGGUAAAUUAUAACUCAUUGAAUCUGAUAAAAAAUUUUAAUCAAAUAAGUAUUUAGUUUCUGCUAUGUAUAAGACAAAGUCUUGAAGUCAUGAAGUCUUAGCAUUUCAAGUUCCUUAAAAAAGAUGGUCUUUCUUUUCUAUGUAGAUGUUAGUUAGCCUCCCCCUCAGCUCUAUUCAUUGAUCUCUCCUUCCUGGCCUCCACCUUUCUUGCCCACAUGCAGUAUCAGUUAUUUUGUUUUUGUUUUUGUCUUGUUUUGUUUUGUUUGAGACUGGUUUGACCUAAUAGUAAUCAUUUUAAGAAGUUUUAUUUUGUUUGCUUUGUUAAUGUUAAAAAGAUGUGGUCACAUCCAUGGUUCUGAAAAAUUGGCACACUAUAGAGAUGAACAGAUAAGCAUCCAACUUUCAUCAUCAUCCCUACUAGUUAUUUUAUACAAUAAAUCCUUGAAUAUCAGUUUGUUACUGAUGCUCUGAUGCUCAGGCCAAAUAAUCUUCUCAGAUUCACAUAUCAAGACUCCCAAACUCUAGGACUCAGAUGUCAUUCAUUAUGCACCCUUUCAUAUUUAUGACAAUCAAUUUUCAUUAUAAAAUUCCGUUUAUAUAACUCAAAUGCUUCUCUAUAAUUUUCAAGAAUAAAGAGUGCCACUUCCGUCCUACUAUAAUCCAGAUCAUGAAACCUGCCUCUUUCUUGUAUCUUAAGUAUCUAUUUUCCUUUUGAUGUUGAUAUUAAAAGUAAGGAUACAAUAAGAGAAAAAGUUGGAGUGAUUUUUUUUUUCACUGUCUUAUUUACACUCCAUUUAUAUAAUGUAUAAAUCUUGGCUAAAAUUCUCUAAUUCUUCUCUGGAACUUCAACAGAUUAGAUCUAACGAACCCUAGAGAUUUCUUCCUACAUUUCUGAGUCUAUUUCUCUCUGUACACUGUGUGUCUUUUAGUGGUUAGUAUGACCCAAGAGAAAGUCCAAAAGUGAAAUUUAACAUUCUUAUAUGCUUCAUUUAUUAUGCAUGAGGCAUGUAAUUUAUAUGUUGCCUUACUUAAAAUAUGUCUGUGUUUGAUAUAGCACACUGACCAGCUGCUUCAUGCAAGCUAUAAAAAUUUUUCUUUGGUUUAACAAUAACUUUGGAGAAUUGUUAUAUAAAUCUUAGAAAUGUUAACAUGGAAAAAGAAAUAUACUUUGAUUUUGCAGAAAGGUCCUCCCAAAUCAAUAGUAGUAAAUAAUUAACUUACCUCAUUGGAAACAUUCUUUAACCUUGAGCUAGCUCACAAUUGCAUUAUUCUUUUUGAUAAAAAUGGUAUAAACAAGUCAUAGGCAAAACAUUUAUUUGGCUUUAGGAUGUGAAAUAGACUUUUAAUCAUUUGCCUUCAGGCCUAUCCAAUCUUUGUUCUACUUGGUUGAAUUUUCUGUGUGUUUGUGAUGAAAAUGAAAGAACCUAAAACAUUGCACAUUCUGGUAUGUUUCCACCCAUAAUUCACAAUACUUCUUUUUUAUCUCUCCUUCUCAAGGUUCAGCUUAUAUUGUUGUGUGCUUUUCUUGUUGAACAUGUAGUAGGUCUGAUAAACCAAGCCCUUUCCUUUAUCAUCUUUAAAAAUAGUCAAGUCACAAGGAGACUGAUUCUAAGGAUUAAACUGUGUACAAAUAAAUACAUACCAAAGCCCAAUUAGUUCAUGGUCAUCUGCUAACUUGGAGAAUAUCAAGUGAUUUUCUCUGUGAUUUAGCCUUAUGUAGUUUGUGUUUUCCUACCCAGAAUUAGGAUGUGCAUGUGUGUUUUAGUCAAAUCCAAUGGUGAGAGACUUCUGGAGCUCUUGGAAGACUUGAGCAAGGGGUGGGGAUGGGGACAUUCCUAUGAAUACCCUGGGGUUGUGUUUCCAUAUUGUCCCUUUGUAUUCCAUUUCUCUGGCCUGUAUUCCCCAAAGCCUGAACUGUGUUUCUUAAAGAGACUUGGAAUAGAUCUUGCUACAAAUCUCAGAAUUGUGGAUGUGAAAGAGGGGUGGAUAUCAAGUGGGAGGCAAAGUUCAAUGUGACUUCACUCCAGCUUCAGCAGGUAAAAACUGAGUGGCCUGCUUUUACUUCAUAAUAAAAGGAAACCUAUAUACAAAGCUGUAAACUACUGAAAACAUCUUUUCUGAAAAAGCCAAAUAUGGACUUUUUAUAAACAAGUAUAUGUAAUUGCAGCCUCAUUUUUCUUCUUUUUCAUUUAAAAUUUUGUUUUAUUUUUUUCAUUAUAGUUGAUUUGUAGUCUUCUGUCAGUGACUGCUGUACAGCAAAGUGACCCAGUUAUACAUAUACACACAUUCUUUUUCUCACAUUAUCUUCUAUCAUGUUCCAUCACAAGUGAUUGGGUAUAGUUCCCUGUGAUUGUUGCUUAUCCAUUCUGAAUGCAAUAGUUUGCAUCUACUAACCCCAAUCUUCCACUCCCUCCCUCUCCCCCCACAGCCUCAUUUUUCUGGUCAUGGAGGCAGAGAGCUUAAAUAUUUGAGUGGCCAGUGGUAGCAUGUUCAUUGCCCACCCCCCAUUCUCUAAUAGGUAUUGUAGAUUACACAGAAAAUGGAAAAUGAGAGUCAAUUUUUUUUCCUUGUUAUAAUCCCCAAAAGAAGGCAGAGGAAGGAAGAAAGAAGAACAAAAAAGAACUGCAAAUUUAAUUAUCCAGAGCAGUUGAAUUAAAUGCCCUCCGGAGGCAACCAGGGAGCAAAUAUUACACACCUGAGGAAAAGAAUCAAUGCUGAUAGACAGCUACUAAUCUCCUAGGCCACUUGCAUUAGGACAGCCGGCCCGAAUUACCUGGGUGUCACCUGAUUGGCCAAUAGUAAGGUCAGGAUUUUGGUCCAGCAGGUGCAAAACCUGUUGUUUACUUAACAAUGUUGGCAGCAGCUGCUGCUGCUUGUGCUGUUUCAAAGCAAUUAAAGAGUGUGCUGUUUAUAAGGUUGCCAGGUGCUGGCUUCCUUGUGUGCUAUGACAGGUGGGGCAAAAUUUCAUGGAAACACCUGCCAGCCUCCAAGACAGACCUGUGCUAACUGGCUAUUAUGUACAUAGCAUUUAAUCUUUCAUGGGUUUAGCUGACAAAGCAGGAAACAUAGCUACAACAUCCACAAAGGGCUGAAGAGAUAUGAUAUAUAAGUACUUUUUGCUUGCCACUGCAGACAGGCUAUUUUGGAUGUUAGGAAGAUUCUAUGAUAUUACACUUAUCAGUGUGUUUGGAGAGCACAGAAAACAUCCCAAAUAGAAAAAAAAGUUACCUAGAGGCAUCAUAUAUUAAUCAUUAUUGUUAUCAAACUGAUUUAUGAAACUUUAUAGCAAUUACCUCCCAGUGUUGAAAAGCUUCUUACUGUCUUUCCCUCUAGUUAUAGUUUUCUUCUUCUUAGAAUAGUUGACACAAGAAAAGUACCCAAUAUGCAUCCUAGAAAUAAGUGAAAAUAACUACUACAGCUUUUGGAUUUAUUUGGGUUUUUUUGGGAACACAUAAGUGACUUGGGUCUUUUGUUUUCUUUGCAUGAACAACAGAAGACUCCUUGUGGAAGAAAUAGAAACCUAGAGAUUUUCCAAAGCAGAUGCAGAUAAAUAAGGAUACUGGGUGUGUUCUGGAUACUACACAGCAGCACCAUUGAUAUGAAUAAGAUGUUGGAAACAAUGAUGGUAAUUUUCUUUGAAGAAAUAAUUUCUACAAAACACAGAGCACACAGUCCUUUUCUUUCUUAUUUACCCUCUGAACUCCAGAAAAUAAAUUGUAUCUUCUUCUUAGGCAAACCCAAAAUAUGGGAUAAAUGUCUCUUUGAGAUGUAUUAACCAACUACAGGUGAGGCAAACAUUUUUCAGAUGGCAGAUCCCCUCCUUUGGGAAUUUCUUUGAAGGAGAUUUUCAUGGGCAGAGGUUCAUGAUUAUACCCUAUAAAUAUACAUAGAAAACAAAACCAUUAGGCAUUUCAUAAACGUGUCAUGAUGCUAUUCCAGGAAUUUCAUGCUAUUCAAAGAACUCAAGUUCCUGUGUUGCUGAACCAUCAUCUCACCCUUGACUCUAUUUACUGCCCAGAGACUCUCGAGUUCUCUCUACCUGGACAAGUCUACCACAAUGAAUUUUAUAGGAGAGAGGAUUCCUCACUUCAGGACCUCAAAACUUGAGUGUUUCAGUUUGAAGCUUUGAGUCUUUUUCUUACCCUAUUUACUCUCACAGUCUCUUCUUAUCACUCCUCCUCAUUAACUUCUUACUCUUACGUACAUUAUUAACAUAUAUAAAGUUUAAACAUUUUAGGGGAGGGAAGCAAUGUUAUUCUAUUACAUAAGUAACAAGUAGAUUUUUUGGUAAAGUAUUCAAACAAUUCAUAAACAGGCAAAGUCUCACAUGAAUUUUUUUGUUUCUUUUCCUCAAAUUAAAGUUGUCCCCUCCAAGGUAAGUGUCACUAAAAGUUUGAUAUAUAAACUUUUGUGUGUGUUAUAGCCAUAUAUACUCAUAUUCAAAUGGGCUCGUUUCAUUCAUAUGGUUUUAUGAUUUGCUUUCUUAAAAAGAUGUUUGGGGGAUUUUUCCAAGUCUAUAUACAUAAUUCUACUUCAUUCAUCUUAAUGGCUAUAUUGUAUUACAAAGUAUGGAUGUUCAUUUAUUUUGCAAUAUUUAAGAUAAAAGGCUGCUUACGAAAUUAUUGUCAAGGCUAAGAAAUGAUAUGUUACCAAUAUUGUGGAAGCUCUGUGUAACCCCCCCUUCCUGCCCCUCCUCUUCUCCAAUGACUCUAAACUUGAAUUGGGACUUUAUUAUUCCUUUGCAAUUCUUUGUAUUUUCUACUUUCUGUUGCCUUGUUUACGUAUGCCUUAACACUACAUAGUACUUUUCUGCAUAUUUCUGAACUUUAUGUAAAUAAUAUCAAAAGAAAUUUGAUGUUUCCCCUCAGCAAAAUGUUUAUGGUAUUCAUCAGUGUUGAGAUAGAAAUUUCUAGUUCAUUAGUUUUUAACUUUUAUUGUUGUUGGAUAAUUUAGUAUAUAAAUACAGCAUAAUUUAUUCACUCUCCAGGUAAUGGAUAUUUACAUGUUUUCAAUUUUUAUAACUAAAAAUAACAUGUUGAGAACUUCUGGUGUCUGGUCUAGUGUGUAAGAAGUUAGGAACCCAUCACUCCCAUUCUUACAGAAGCUGAACACAUUGAAAAUCAAUAACUGUCGUUAGGCGCUCCAUCUGUGGUGUAGUAAGUUAAGGACUCUGACUAUAGCAACUCAAGUCACUGUUGAGGCACAGCUUUGAUCCAUGGUCUUUCACAGUGGGUUAAGGAUCCAGCAUUGCUGCAGCCAUGGCAUAGGUCACAGCUGCAGCUCAGAUUCAAUCCCUGGAAACUUCCAUAUGCUGUGGGUGUGGACAUUAAAAACACAAAUAAAAAAAACAAAACAAAAAAACUCUCCUUGGAUUUAGCAGAGAAUUGAGGUUGCAAGGUAAACUACUAACACUAAAACUGAGGAGACAGGUGGAUACAGAUACAGAAGCUGUUGGAGCAAAAGCCCAAGAGCAGAAAUAACCUCAGAAAUAAGUACCAAGGAAGAAAAUACCUAAACCACAAUGAACAAAUUGUUAGGCAAAUCUGAGAGGAAACCUCUAGAGUACCUAGCCUUAGGGGCACCUGAUACUUUUGUGAGUAUUCCUACAGGGUUCUCAUAGUAAAGCUCAGAAAAAAUUCCCUUUGCUUAUGGAGACACAGGGGGAAACUAGUCAUAUUUAAUUUUGUCCAGAGCGUUCUGUUCUCUUACCAAAGCCUAUCAUCAAGGGAAACCAUUUUACCAGAGCCUAACCAUCCUGAGGCAAAGGAAACAUCUAACUCCAGACCCCUCUAGCCUUUCUGCCUCACCUAAAGGGAGAACAACAGAAACACUGGUAAGAGUCACAGAGCAGGGGCACAGCUCAGUAAAAGGCUGAGACCUAAUUCUACAACUAUGGAAUGCAUUCUUCUCCCUACACUUACAUUAAAUCAACACGUCUCCUGUGAAAUAACAGGAAAAUACAAAAGAAAGAACUGCGUGGGUUUGACUUUAAGGAAAAUUUUCUAGGAAAAUCCAAAAACAGCAGUAGAGACAAAAACAAGGACACCAGAAGAAAUUUUAGCCUCGGACACUCACAAUUACAGCAAACAUUAAACACAGACUAACUCCUAGCCAGAAGAACAUAAAAACUUACAUUAAAAACUAUUUCAGGAGUUCCCAUCGUGGCACAGUGGUUAACGAAUCCGACUAGGAACCAUGAGGUUGCGGGUUUGGUCCCUGGCCUUGCUCAGUGGGUUAAGGAUCCGGUGUUGCUGUGAGCUUGUGGUGUAGGUUGCAGACGUGGCUUGGAUAAGGUGUUGCUGUGGCUCUGGUGUAGGCCAGCAGCUACAGCUCCAAUUAGACCCCUAGCCUGGGAACCUCCAUAUGCUACAGAAAAGGCCCAAGAAAUGGCAAAAAAAA